rnacentral:rRNA from 1 species
AUGGAUCUACUGGACCAUGCCCAGGAAAGAUCCGGCUGUCGUCGUUGCCGCCGCCGGCGCGCUGGGAGCGGCAGCGCCAGGCGGGUUGCCGCCGCCGGACGAGGUGGCGUUCGGCCUGACAACGUUGUGGUGGUGCUGUUGAUGCUGAUUCUGAUGUUGUUGCUGCCCCUGGAACUGGAUCUUGUACUGCGUUUUGUUGCCGUCGAGGUCGUCCUCCUCGUCCUCGUCCUCGUAGUCGUCCUCGUCCUCGUCGUCCUCGUCCAUGUUGUCGCUCUCGGCGCCGCCGCCGCCCGUACGGUUGUAGCUGUUGAUCGCAGCCUGCUGCGCCGCCUGCGGCUGCGGCUGUGGCUGCCUCUGCUCCAUCGUCGUCUCCUUCAUGAUGCCUUCUGGCUUUAA